GUUGUGGCUCAGGGGCCAGCACCUGCUAGUACCAGGACACUACUGGGAGGCUGGGACCUGACCAAAGCUCAUGGUGUCUGUUGCCUGAGGACAGGGUGUCUUGGGCCAUAAGGCCAGGCCACCAAUGGCCAUUGGGUCAUAGGGGCUCAGCCCCAGUGUUUGCCCUUCCCUGGCUCCUUCUGGUUCGGUCCUAUCAGGGCCCUGGAGCCCAAGACCCAGCAUCCAAGGUCCCCUCCAGGAAUCCUGGCGGCUCAGCUUACUUUGUCAUGUUUCAUCUGAGAGCAAAAAUGUCAGAUCGGCUGCACAGAAAAAUGGCUCAAAGUACUUAAUGACUAGAAGAAAUCUAGGAGCAGCAAGAAGGUAAUGUGGAGAGGGGAGGGCCUUCAUGACCGGUGUCUGCAGAGCCAGGGGUACAGGCACCCAGUGCUGUGGCCUGGCACCACCUGCCUCUCAGAGGAUGUCUCGGCUGCUCUACAAGGGAGUCCCAUUUCAGGUGUGGUGCUGGGCAUGGUCACUCCUGCUGAAUGUCUAGAAGGUGAAAACCAAGGACCUAGGGAAAUACCAGGUACAGCCUUUCCACCCUCAUCCAGAGCGGGACAAACAGGCCAGGCGGUGUCAGGAGCACAGGUCUCCAGCUGGAGGGAGUGUCAGCCCUGCAGUAGGAGUCCAUCACGCAUCCUAGGCACAUAUGCUAAUGUAGGUAUCACA
rnacentral:lncRNA from 1 species